rnacentral:rRNA from 1 species
UACGGAGGGUGCGAGCGUUGUCCGGAAUCACUGGGCGUAAAGGGUGCGUAGGCGGCCUGAUAAGUAGGGGGUGAAAUCCUGAGGCUUAACCUCAGGGCUGCCUUCUAAACUGUCAGGCUCGAGCACAGUAGAGGCAGGUGGAAUUCCCGGUGUAGCGGUGGAAUGCGUAGAGAUCGGGAAGAACAUCAGUGGCGAAGGCGGCCUGCUGGGCUGUUGCUGACGCUGAGGCGCGACAGCGUGGGGAGCAAACAGG